CGGUGGCGCGUGCCUGUAGUCCCAGCUACUCGGGAGGCUGAGGCUGGAGGAUCGCUUGAGUCCAGGAGUUCUGGGCUGUAGUGCGCUAUGCCGAUCGGGUGUCCGCACUAAGUUCGGCAUCAAUAUGGUGACCUCCCGGGAGCGGGGGACCACCAGGUUGCCUAAGGAGGGGUGAACCGGCCCAGGUCGGAAACGGAGCAGGUCAAAACUCCCGUGCUGAUCAGUAGUGGGAUCGCGCCUGUGAAUAGCCACUGCACUCCAGCCUGGGCAACAUAGCGAGACCCCGUC
rnacentral:SRP_RNA from 10 species